rnacentral:rRNA from 1 species
UACAGAGGUCUCAAGCGUUGUUCGGAUUCAUUGGGCGUAAAGGGUGCGUAGGUGGCGGGGUAAGUCAGGUGUGAAAUCUCGGGGCUCAACCCCGAAACUGCAUUUGAUACUGCCUUGCUCGAGUACUGGAGAGGAGAUUGGAAUUUACGGUGUAGCAGUGAAAUGCGUAGAUAUCGUAAGGAAGACCAGUGGCGAAGGCGAAUCUCUGGACAGUUACUGACACUGAGGCACGAAGGCCAGGGGAGCAAAUGGG